rnacentral:lncRNA from 1 species
UUACUUAGAUAUUUUAUGACCUGGUCAGACAGAUAAAUAGGAAAACACCAGUGGAAAAGAAGAAGCCUAAAAAGAAAUCAUGUCUGCUGCUCUAGGCCCAUAGUCAGCAGCAGCUCUGAGCCAGAUUACAGGAAUGAAGAACUGUUGCCUAAUUGGAAAGUGCCAGCAUUCCAGACUUCAAAAAUAAAAAAUCUGAAGAGGCUUCUCCUGUUUUAUAUAUUAUGUGAAGAAUUUAGAUCUUAUAUUGGUUUGCACAAGUUCCCUGGAGAAAAAAAUUGCUCUGUGUAUAUCUCUUGGAAAAUAAGACAAUAGUAUUUCUCCUUUGCAAUAGCAGUUAUAACAGAUGUGAAAAUAUACUUGACUCUAAUAUGAUUAUACAAAAGAGCAUGGAUGCAUUUCAAAUGUUAGAUAUUGCUACUAUAAUCAAAUGAUUUCAUAUUGAUCUUUUUAUCAUGAUCCUCCCUAUCAAGCACUAAAAAGUUGAACCAUUAUACUUUAUAUCUGUAAUGAUACUGAUUAUGAAAUGUCCCCUCAAACUCAUUGCAGCAGAUAACUUUUUUGAGUCAUUGACUUCAUUUUAUAUUUAAAAAAUUAUGGAAUAUCAUCUGUCAUUAUAUUCUAAUUAAAAUUGUGCAUAAUGCUUUGGAAAAAUGGGUCUUUUAUAGGAAAAAAACUGGGAUAACUGAUUUCUAUGGCUUUCAAAGCUAAAAUAUAUAAUAUACUAAACCAACUC